rnacentral:lncRNA from 1 species
UACGUUUUCCAAUAGUAUUCACCACUGGUACUACAUUAGCUGGUUGGGGUGCGACCGUAGCCGUCACUGUAGGUGUCACUGCCGGCGGUACAAUAUAAAAUUGCUGUAUUGCCUGCACAGUAGUAGUCAAGAUUUGAACUUGCUAGAACAAUAAUUGAAACUAUUUCGCACUGACAGUCGCCAUCUAUGGGAGAGUUGGUUGUUGGACUUUCGACUGCGGCUGCGUCGGAACUUGCUCGACCGUCACAUUUUCCACUGACUGAGAAGUGGUAGUGGUAUCGGAGCUUUGGAUGGACCCUCUUCACGGUGCCAUAAUCAUCACUUGGUGCUCCUCAAAGUUGGAUCAGGGCCCUUCCUCUAGCAUUAAUCUGUUGGUGCUGAAAUCUGGACCAUAGUUAAAAACUGCUGGAGUGGUGGUGCAUCCUCCUGAAAAAAAUCUGUAAGCAAGUCCUGAUCAAAGUUGGCUCCGAUGGGGAUCCUCCGACGCUCAAGUCAAAUCACAGAGAGACAGAAGAAGAGUGUAGAAGAUUAUGGUUACAUACCUUGGGAGGUCUCCUGUAGGUUCUUUUGUAGGUCAAAGCUGUGUAACCGUCUAAAGAGAUUAUGGGGCAAUUCAGGCGUGACGUGGUGAAACUCCUGAUCGAGAUUGAUGGGAUUAUUAUUGCACCUACCUUUCCAAUCCUGAGAUC